rnacentral:rRNA from 1 species
GCAUAUCAAUAAGCGGAGGAAAAGAAACCAACAGGGAUUGCCCUAGUAACGGCGAGUGAAGCGGCAACAGCUCAAAUUUGAAAUCUGGCCCCCGGGUCCGAGUUGUAAUUUGUAGAGGAUGCUUUUGGUGCGGUACCUUCCGAGUUCCCUGGAACGGGACGCCAUAGAGGGUGAGAGCCCCGUCUGGUUGGACGCCAAUCCUUUGUAAAGCUCCUUCAACGAGUCGAGUAGUUUGGGAAUGCUGCUCUAAAUGGGAGGUAUAUGUCUUCUAAAGCUAAAUAUUGGCCAGAGACCGAUAGCGCACAAGUAGAGUGAUCGAAAGAUGAAAAGCACUUUGAAAAGAGAGUUAAAAAGUACGUGAAAUUGUUGAAAGGGAAGCGCUCAUGACCAGACUUGGGCUUGGUUGAUCAUCCAGGGUUCUCCCUGGUGCACUCUUCCGGCCCAGGCCAGCAUCAGUUCGCUGUGGGGGAUAAAGGCUUCGGGAAUGUGGCUCCCUCGGGAGUGUUAUAGCCCGUUGUGUAAUACCCUGUGGUGGACUGAGGUUCGCGCAUUCGCAAGGAUGCUGGCGUAAUGGUCAUCAGCGACCCGUCUUGAAACACGGACCAAGGAGUCGUCUUCGUAUGCGAGUGUUCGGGUGUCAAACCCCUACGCGUAAUGAAAGUGAACGCAGGUGAGAGCUUCGGCGCAUCAUCGACCGAUCCUGAUGUUCUCGGAUGGAUUUGAGUAAGAGCAUACGGGGCCGGACCCGAAAGAAGGUGAACUAUGCCUGUAUAGGGUGAAGCCAGAGGAAACUCUGGUGGAGGCUCGCAGCGGUUCUGACGUGCAAAUCGAUCGUCAAAUAUGGGCAUGGGGGCGAAAGACUAAUCGAACCUUCUAGUAGCUGGUUUCCGCCGAAGU